rnacentral:lncRNA from 1 species
AGUUUUGCCAGCUUGCCAAUAUCCUUCUGGAGAUAUGCAGCGGCACGUUGGCCCUUCCUACCAUAACAGCGGCACCCCCAAGCUAAAGAAGGAAAGCAAGGGGGAAGGCAGUGGGUCAUGGAGGUGAUGGAAAACUCUAAUGGAAAGGAGUCAAUCAAACUCGGAAUAGAAAGGGAAAUAAUAGAGAAAUCAAUGGCUUUUGGAGAGAAAUGGGGUUUCCGGGAUGGUGGUGCUUGGCUAUGGCUGCUUGGUGGCCAUCGG